ACACUGGCACAGGUUGCCCAGAGAAGCUGUGGCUGCCCCAUCCCUGGCAGUGUUCAAGGCCAGGUUGGAUGGGGCUUGGAGCAACCUAGUCUAGUGGAAGGUGUCACUGCCCAUGGCAGGGGGAUUAGAACCAGAUAAUCCUUAAGGUCCCUUCCAACCCAAACCAUUCUAUGAUUUUCAGGUAGCCAGAGUAGAGAGCAAAUGUCCUUGAAUAGCUUGGGUAAGUCGGGUGGGUCCUCUGGAGCAAGGUUUCUCCAACCCUCCUGAAGAAAAUCCAGUUUUGAAUGGUAGCACAUUAGCUUUUGGCAGUGACGAGUAAAAGAAAAAGGAAAAUAUCUAUCUAAACUGAACAUAUUAUCAUUAGGUUGCAAGAAAUCUUUCUGGAGGGAACACAGCAAACCACUAAGCUUCUUCACAAAAUUAGCUUAUCAAAUAGCCAAGGGAUGAGUACAUUUCUGCACCUGGAAUAAAGGUGCAGUGGGUUUCACAGGUAACUUCUUCAGUAUCACCAAGAAAACAGGAAGAGCUGCAGGAGCAUAGGAAGGUCCACAAGGGAGCGAUGCAGCUGGAACAGUCACUGCACCAGGGAAAAGGUGGGAGAAGGAAGUUUUGGGAUGGAAGGAGGGACCUCAAACUGUGCCAUGACCUUUCAGGCUUUCUCUGUGACAUGAAAUGACGCCUAGGAAGGCACCAUCACGCCAUUUAACUCCCUGAUGUCAGUGUAACCCUACUUCUGAUCCAUCCUUUGCUCAGGGGAAGUAAGAUGAGCAUUUACAGGUAAAUAAUCAUAUCAAAGCAGUACUUGAGCCCACAACUCAUUUCAACAGGAACUUCAUGAACUGAAGGACAUUUGCACUAUGGAGAUCACUUUGCCACGUCUCAAGCAGCGAAUUAUGGGAAAGUUUGUUUUCUUUUAAUUGUAUUCCUCUAUAACCAUCAUCAGUUCACAGCCACUUGCAAGACAAAAGACUUACUUGGCUUGCCAGUACUUCCUGCUUCUAAAAGUUUUGCUGGAAUUAAGUAAGGUUCUGGAGUUUCCCAUUCAUCGUUUUAGAAACUGUAUGUUUUUACUCUCCUGUCCAGUACAUGCAUCGUAAGACGGGGUAGCUGACCACGGGUUUUGAGCUAGUGCUAUUAAUCCCCAUUAAUAAAGCAGCAAAAGGCAAUGCAUAGUAAGCAGAUCACUACAUUAUUCAUCUAACAAAGACAAAUGCUACACACUGUUAUUUUUUAAGUGAGACAAAACUGCAGUUGCUGAGAAGACUGAAGAGAGUAAUUUUUUCAGCUAAUCAUGAGAAAUGACUCUUUUGUGCAUAAGAGACACUGCCACUUGCGCUUAGUGACUUCCAACUAGCUCAAGAGGUUUCUUACCUGGCCAUGCAACAAGAUGCCAGCUGAAAUGUUCUGGUGGUGAAAGCACUGAAGAAAUCUCUUAAAUUAGGCGACCUUAAAACAAAACCAAUGAACCUGAGCUACAGAACCAGUUUACACACUUACUCAGACUCUUGAUUCCACUCAGUUCUGGGGUUUCAGGUGCUAACAAGUGCUUUGAAUCCUUUUUUUCCAUUUGUUUGUAGAUGCCUUUCUGACAGCACUGCUGCUUUUUGCAGAGCUCUGCCUUUUCAGUAGCCCGAUAAAUGGGCAGAACUCUUUCCCAAAGAGCAGCUAAGGAAACAGAUCAGUGAUAGAGCUGUUUUAGGGAGUGAGUUGUCUUUUACCUGGAGCUGUAGGUAGACUGAAGUGGAGAAAACAAAGCUGUGACUCGACCUGUGCUUGGGUGAGAUGACUGGAGAGUAAGAUGAAGAGCAGCCGGUCAGAUAACCACAGGCGCUCAGGACAGGUGGUCUUUGUAGCCCAUCUCUGUUUCUGGGACCCUGAACGCCAGUCCUUUUGCCCAGUGGAAGUGAAGAUGCCCCCAUUAAGCGUGUAUCUACCAGCAUCCCAUUGCCCAAACCUCCAAGUGCUGAGCAACCAGUUCCCUGAUGCAUCAUGUCCAGCACUGCUGUCAUCUGCUUGCCUCCACGAUAUUAGGAGGAUAGAGGAGAACAAAGAACUUGUCUUCACAACAGAGUGGAAAGGAGGGUGGCACCCCCACCAUCCCAGGGAUGCUCUUCCUGCAGGAUCAAACCCCAGCAAGCUUUCAGCCAGACUACUCAUACACACAGAAGCUGAAAUGGAGCCAGCACCCUGGAUGAGGUGCAGUCCUGGAGCUGUGCCACACGAGCAGUGUGGGGGAGCUCCCACUGCACUUGGCAGGGGAGGUGGAACACCAGCUGCCUGGCACAGACCACAGCCACUACAAGCUUUUUUUUUGCCCCACUCUGAACACAGAACAUGGCAAUUAUUUGCACAGGGUGAAGUGGGUUCCUCUGGACAAUGAUAACAGAAAUCACUCUGAACUCAAGACACACUACAAGUGAGAAAAUUAAACCUAAGGUAUUCUUUCUAUCUAGGAAACUCUCCCAGGAAAGGAUAUACUACAGCUUCCUUAGGUUUUUUGCAUGUGUAAGAUGUGCCCAUGACCUUUUGCACACAUUAGGAUGUAAAAGCCACUGUUGCUCCUGCACUGAAGAACUGAAGCAGAAAACAAGGAAGGUUGCAUUUUACAUGAUGAAAACAAUCUGGAAAGAAAAUGCCUCAGUGCCAACAUACUUGCUGCAGGGAAGGCAAUUCCACAGACUGCAUGGACUGGGAGCAGACGUGGCUGAGGCUUUGCAGCUUCCUCCUGAACCGUCUUGCUUUUUUCCUUAGCCUGUAGGAUGCCAGGUUUUGAGUCAUGAUUUACUCUUCCUGCAUGCAUGGAAGAAGUCUGCCUUCUCAUGGCCAUAAAAUGCCCGUCUCAAGCUGCCUUGUCAGACAUGAAUGGAAGGUAAACAGGCGGAUGGGCUCACAGAUUAAAACUUCAAAACUGGUUAGAGGAUUGAAGAUGAACUCAAGUCAGAUGCAACCCUAGGGCAGGAUUCAGCUCACAAGAGAUGACGGAGGAAGUGCUGCCUUCAUCAUUCACAGGAUACUGAGCACAGCUUUCACACCUGGAAAUGGGGAGUUAGCCAGAGCUGCAGCCUAAGCCAUAGGAGUACACAGGUUGUGCAGCCACCCAGCAGCAUGGGUCACCUCUGCCCAGCGAGCGCUAAAGUCUCAGGAUGGUUUCAUGCUUCCAGUAUCCAAACUGCAAGUGGAUCAGUGCUCAUCAGUUUGUGAGCAAAACAAGGCAAGCUGCCACCUAGCUGAAGGUUUGGCUGCCUAACCACACACAGCAAAGCAAUGCUGGCCUAACUGCAAACCAUAGCACUAAACGCAAUGGACACAUUUGAGUACACAUCCAUUUUUCCAUAGAAAAUUAUUAGUUUUCAUGGACAGUCCUUCAAGACAGGACUUUCGCCCACACAAUACUUGUGUCAGCACAUAGGAAGGCUUCCUUGCAUGUGAACUGUUUUCUCUCACAGGAUGAAGCUGUUCCAGUCUCCAGCCUCAUCAGGAUGUGUCCUGAGUGCAGCUGUGUGUAACAGCUCAGACCACAGUAUGGUUCUAAGGAAAAGCAGAAAGAUGAGCACAGAACUGUGAAAUCCAUUGUCAUGUCUUGCAUAAGCAAAGCAAGGCAGAUAAUAUAAAAUUUGGCAAAAAAAAAUACAGAUAUUGUUCAGGAUAUGACUUGGGGCUCAGAAAAAUCUUCCUGGGAAAACAGUCAGAACAGACAAGUAGGACAACUUCCCCUGGGACACAAAAGCAUUAUGGAAACCCACAGAGCCCAUGGGCUGAAGAGUUUGUGCUACUCUGCAGAGUAUCAAUCCCACAGGAAAGACAUCCUUUCUCCUGAGGGGCAAGCAGGACCAUCCAUGGGAUUUUCUCUUUUCAUCUUCCACACCCUUGAAGAAUGAUGUCUUCUGCGGACAAAGCCUUGAGCCACCGCUCCCAGUUUGCACUCUGAGGGCUCUGACUACAGAGACCAUCACCUUGCAGUGAAAGGCUGUGACAGAAAGCUGGUGUCAUUCAUUACACCGUCUCCUUCCCUUCUCUUCCAUUAAAACAUGACCUCGCCGGAAAUAAACAUUGCUGAAGCCUGGGAACUGGUCUGAGGGAAAAAAACAGCAGAGAUGCCUAAAAAAUGUAAAGUAGUAGCUGCUGCUGCCACCACAGCUGGACACCUCUUUGCCAGACAAGACCUGGAGGUGAUACCCAGCCUGCCAGAGCCUCUUCCCCACCAGAGAAGAACCAGGGCUGAUGCAGCCAUCUCUUGAAUCAAAUUCUCAUCUCUUCUUCAUUUCCAGCGUCACGCCAUGCACAGCCUGCAACACCAACAGAGCAGCACCUUUUGCUGAUAGCUUCUGGAGGCCGUACUAGAACAGAGCUACAGACCCCAAGAGUCUUGUUCUCAGACAGCAUGCAAAAGCCCCCAGCCCUGGCAGUGGUGCAGAUAUAUCCACCAAAUACACAAGAAGCACUGUAUAAAAUUAUAAACGGAUAAGCACUGAUCAAUUUACAACAAAAUCCAAAACGUCCUGCAUUUACAGUUAUCCCAGUUUAAAGAAGAGGAUUCUUCAUAAAGGUACCUUACCCAAUGACUGAAAUAGAAGCAACUCUCUACCCAAUUCCUAUGUGACUACAGCUGUACAGCUGGUGCAUGUCACCAGCAAAAACUGAAGGCAAAUGGGAAGCCUGGAGUCAAGCCUCCUGAGUCCUGCUGCUCCAGUGAUCCAGUCCUACACACAAAUACUACCCCAGCAAGUACUACUGAGGAAAAGCCUGUCCUGCAAUUCCCAACAGACAGCUAGGGGAAUUCUGCACACCCAGGAAUGACAGCAAGCAGAAAGGCUGUUCACAUCAGCUUCUGCUCAUCCUGGGCAACUGACCUACCCUAAACAACACAAUCUACUGACUACAACCCUCACAUAAGGCUCAAGAUAAGCAUCUACCACAUGACGCAUAUUUAUGAUAACACUUUGGAGCAGGACACAAGUGUCCAGCAGAAAGGAAACCCCACAGAAGUGCUGCUCUUAUUUCAGAUAUUGAGAGUAAGUUCUGUGUUUUUUGUAUUUGGUAUCACCUAGCUUCUCAGUGCUCAAGGAAAAGAAAGAUGAACUACUCUGCCUCCUGUUUCCGUAAUAUGGACUAGCUAGCAAGGGCUCAGAAUGCUUCGCUUCCCACCAAUGUCCUAGUCUUAAUAACAAUACAAGGAUACACACACCUUUCCCAUGGAUCAUCAGCAGUACAUGAGACACUUUUGCUAGUCUAUGUUUACCCUGUAGUGCCAGGUUAAUUCAGCAGCCUGCAGCACUUACUUUCAAGCUAGAAGCAGAAACAUCAUUCCACCUCUGAGCUCUGGUUUACAAGGAUUAUCAGCUUCAUAUAAGGCUUAAGCACUUUCCCCAAAGGAACUGUAAAGACAAGCUGCCAACCUAAUGCAAAUCCUGCCACAGAAGCUGACACCCUAUAAACCACAGUGUCUGUGGGGCAAGGGAGGGUAAGGGG